AUUGAACGCUGGCGGCAGGACUAACACAUGCAAGUCGAGCGAGCGGCGGACGGGUGAGUAAUGUAUGGGGACUGCCCGAUAGAGGGGGAUAACUCCUGGAAACGGUGGCUAAUACCGCAUACUAUCGGAUAACCCAUAUGGGAUUAGCUAGUAGGUGGGGGAAAGGCUCGCCUAGGCGACGAUCUCUAGCUGGUCUGAUAGGAUGAGCAGCCACACUGGGACGGAGACACGGCCCAGCAUCCUACGGAGGCAGCAGUGGGGAAUAUUGCACAAUGGGCGUAAGCUCGAUGCAGCCAUGCCGCGUGUAUGAAGAAGGCCUUAGGGUUGUAAAGUACUUUCAGCGGGGAGGCGUUACUCGCAGAAGAAGCACCGGCUAACUCCGUGCCAGCCGCCGCGGUAAUAC
rnacentral:rRNA from 1 species